GACGAACGCUGGCGGCGUGCUUAACACAUGCAAGUCGAACGGAAAGGCCCUGCUUUUGUGGGGUGCUCGAGUGGCGAACGGGUGAGUAACACGUGAGUAACCUGCCCUUGACUUUGGGAUAACUUCAGGAAACUGGGGCUAAUACCGGAUAGGAGCUCCUGCUGCAUGGUGGGGGUUGGAAAGUUUCGGCGGUUGGGGAUGGACUCGCGGCUUAUCAGCUUGUUGGUGGGGGAGUGGCUUACCAAGGCUUUGACGGGUAGCCGGCCUGGGAGGGUGACCAGCCACAUGGGGACUGAGAUACGGCGCAGACUGGUACGGGAGGCAGCAGGGGGGAAUAUUGCACAAUGGGCGGAAGUCUGAUGCAGCAACGCCGCGUGCGUGAUGACGGCCUUCGGGUUGUAAACCGCUGUCGCCUAUGACGAAGCGUGAGUGACGGUAAUGGGUAAAGAAGCACCGGCUAACUACGUG
rnacentral:rRNA from 1 species